GUCCUCUGUGUUUCUUUUUGAGGUUUGGCCUGCCCAGUGAAGGUUUAAACGGCCGCGGUAUUUUGACCGUGCAAAGGUAGCAUAAUCAUUAGUCUUUUAAUAGGAGGCUGGUAUGAAAGGCUCGACGAGAUGUCAGCUGUCUCACUGUAAUAGAUUAUAAUUUAUUUUUUAAGUUAAAAAUCUUAAGUUUGGUUGGAAGACGAGAAGACCCUAUAGAGCUUUAUUUUUAAAACUUGAUAUUGGUUUUGUUGCUAUUAUUUUUUAUUAGGUUAUUAUUAAUUUUGUUGGGGUGGUGAAAAAUAUUUAUUUAACUUUUUUAUUUAUUAAACAUUUAUUUAUGAAAAUUAGAUCCAUUAUUAUUGAUUAUUAGAAUAAGUUACCUUAGGGAUAACAGCGUAAUCCUUUUUGGGAGUUCAAAUCUACAAAGGGGCUUGCGACCUCGAUGUUGGAUUAAGAUAAUGAUUAGGUGCAGUAGCUUAAUUAAUAGGUCUGUUCGACCUUUAAAUUCUUACAUGAUCUGAGUUCAGACCGG
rnacentral:rRNA from 1 species